rnacentral:rRNA from 1 species
GCCUUGCCAGCCCGCUCAAGAAACUUAAAGGAAGUUGACGGGGGCCCGCACAAGCGGAGGAGCAUGUGGUUUAAUUCGAUGAUACGCGAGGAACCUUACCUGGGCUCGAACGUAAGAUGACUGUAGGUGAAAGCUUACAUCUCUUCGGAGCAUUUUACGAGGUGCUGCAUGGUUGUCGUCAGCUCGUGCCGUGAGGUGUCGGGUUAAGUCCCGUAACGAGCGCAACCCUUGUCCUUAGUUACCAGCACGUUAUGGUGGGCACUCUAAGGAGACUGCCGGUGACAAACCGGAGGAAGGUGGGGAUGACGUCAAGUCAUCAUGGCCCUUACGGCCUGGGCUACACACGUGCUACAAUGGUCGGUACAAAGGGUUGCCAAGCCGCGAGGUGGAGCUAAUCCCAUAAAACCGAUCGUAGUCCGGAUCGCAGUCUGCAACUCGACUGCGUGAAGUCGGAAUCGCUAGUAAUCGUGAAUCAGAAUGUCACGGUGAAUACGUUCCCGGGCCUU